GACGAACGCUGGCGGCGUGCUUAACACAUGCAAGUCGAACGGAAAGGCCCUGCUUUUGUGUGGUGCUCGAGUGGCGAACGGGUGAGUAACACGUGAGUAACCUGCCCUUGACUUUGGGAUAACUUCAGGAAACUGGGGCUAAUACCGGAUAGGAGCGCCUGCUGCAUGGUGGGGGUUGGAAAGUUUCGGCGGUUGUGGAUGGACUCGCGGCUUAUCAGCUUGUUGGUGGGGUAGUGGCUUACCAAGGCUUUGACGGGUAGCCGGCCUGAGAGGGUGACCGGGCACAUUGGGACUGAGAUACGGACCAGACUCCUACGGGAGGCAGCAGAGGGGAAUAUUGCACAAUGGGCGGAAGCCUGAUGCAGCAACGCCGCGUGCGGGAUGACGGCCUUCGGGUUGUAAACCGCUUUCGCCUGUGACGAAGCGUGAGUGACGGUAAUGGGUAAAGAAGCACCGGCUAACUACGUG
rnacentral:rRNA from 1 species